rnacentral:rRNA from 1 species
AUACGGAGGGUGCAAGCGUUAAUCGGAUUUACUGGGCGUAAAGCGCGCGUAGGCGGCUUGUUAAGUCGGAUGUGAAAGCCCUGGGCUCAACCUAGGAACUGCAUUCGAUACUGGCGAGCUAGAGUACGAUAGAGGGUGGUAGAAUUCCUAGUGUAGCGGUGAAAUGCGUAGAUAUUAGGAGGAAUACCGGUGGCGAAGGCGGCCACCUGGAUCGAUACUGACGCUGAAGUGCGAAAGCGUGGGGAGC